GACGAACGCUGGCGGCGUGCUUAACACAUGCAAGUCGAACGGGCCUUGUCCCCUUUUUUUUGGGGGUGGGGUUAGUGGCGAACGGGUGAGUGACACGUGAGUAACCUGCCCCUCACUUCUGGAUAACCGCUUGAAAGGGUGGCUAAUACGGGGUGUUCUGGCCUGCUCGCAUGGGUGGGUUUGGAAAGAUUCGACCGGUUUUGGUUGUUUUGGUGGGGGAUGGGCUCGCGGCCUAUCAGCUUGUUGGUGGGGUGAUGGCCUGCCAAGGCUUUGACGGGUAGCCGGCCUGAGAGGGUGGGCGGUCACACUGGGACUGAGACGCGGCCCAGACUCCUACGGGAGGCAGCAGUGGGGAAUAUUGCACAAUGGGCGCAAGCCUGAUGCAGCGACGCCGCGUGAGGGAUGGAGGCCUUCGGGUUGUGAACCUCUUUCGCCAGUGAAGAAGGUCCUGCUCUUUGUGGUGGGGUUGACGGUAGCUGGGUUAAUGAAGCGCCGGCUAACUACGUG
rnacentral:rRNA from 1 species